GGCCUGGAGACUCCGAGGUGUGUGGACGUGUCGCUCCCGCUGGUCAGAGAUGAGGAUGAUGUGGUCGUGUGUGACGCUGGUGGUGGUGGCCGCCCUGGUGGGGACGUCCUCGGGAAAGGUGUACACAAAGUGUGAACUGGCCAAAGUGCUGACCAAUAC